AAGGAGAAGCGCCAGGACCGUGGAGUGGAGUGCGUUUCAGGGGCCCACGCAAACGCCCUGGAGUAUGAGGAAGCAGCGCGGACCGCACAGACUAGAACUGCAAGGCGCGCUGGGCGGGAGCCGCCGGCCGCCCCGAGGCCUCCGGCACCAGGUUGGCCGGGGACUGGGCCCCUGGCUUUCCAGAGAUGGUGCCUAUAAAGCAACAAUCAAAAUAGUUGCAGUUUUACUAAGAAACCGAGCGCUUA
rfam:Loxodonta africana unplaced genomic scaffold scaffold_21, whole genome shotgun sequence.